GAUGAACGCUGGCGGCGUGCCUAAUACAUGCAAGUCGAGCGAACAGACGAGGAGCUUGCUCCUCUGACGUCAGCGGCGGACGGGUGAGUAACACGUGGAUAACCUACCUAUAAGACUGGGAUAACUUCGGGAAACCGGAGCUAAUACCGGAUAAUAUAUUGAACCGCAUGGUUCAAUAGUGAAAGACGGUUUUGCUGUCACUUAUAGAUGGAUCCGCGCCGCAUUAGCUAGUUGGUAAGGUAACGGCUUACCAAGGCAACGAUGCGUAGCCGACCUGAGAGGGUGAUCGGCCACACUGGAACUGAGACACGGUCCAGACUCCUACGGGAGGCAGCAGUAGGGAAUCUUCCGCAAUGGGCGAAAGCUUGACGGAGCAACGCCGCGUGAGUGAUGAAGGUCUUCGGAUCGUAAAACUCUGUUAUUAGGGAAGAACAAAUGUGUAAGUAACUAUGCACGUCUUGACGGUACCUAAUCAGAAAGCCACGGCUAACUACGUG
rnacentral:rRNA from 1 species